GAGAAAUGUAGGUGAUUAACUAACUCAGUUUGCCAGCACUGCAGGAUUUUCCAGGAUAUGAGACUUCAAGGGCUAAAACCAGUACUAACACCAAGGCUCUCAAAAGUAAAACCCUAAGAAAGAAAACAGCUAAAGGCCCCAAGGCAGGAGCAUGACUUGUGUGUGCCCAAUGUGUUCUAGGAUGCCCGUGGGCCAGAAGAGAGCAAGUGAGAGGAGAGGAAGAAGAAGCACAAGCCACAAAGUCACCUGCAUGCCCAGUGUAUAUUGAACCCAGCAACUUCAUCAUGUUGUGCCCACCCCAGACUGCCAGGUAACAGAGGUGCCCCUGGCCCGCCCCCAUGGGCUGCACACUCCAGCCGCUGCCCCUUUAAUGAGACUGCUAUCCAGCCUUUCAUUGGCUUCCAGCGACAACGUCCUGAGCAGCACGACCAGCCCAACCCAGAGACAGAGCGGGACACUGCGUGUGACAAAUUCAUAAUCAUACCACCCCCACCUCCCACCCCAACCCUGGCAGAUUCCAUUCUACCAUGUUCCUUUGCCCUUGGGGAGAGACAAUGGCUUCCUCCAAGGGGUCUCCAGACACUUGGUGACCCAGUAAGACGGCAAUGAGGAAGGUUCCUUCUGAAGUUCACAAGAUUUCAAAUAAGCCACUGAAAU
rnacentral:lncRNA from 12 species